rnacentral:rRNA from 1 species
AAGGGUUUGGCUGUUCGCCAAUUAAAGCGGUACGCGAGCUGGGUUCAGAACGUCGUGAGACAGUUCGGUCCCUAUCUGCCACGAGCGUUGGAUGUUUGAGGGGUUCUGCCUCUAGUACGAGAGGACCGAGGUGGACGAACCUCUGGUGUACCAGUUGUCGUGCCAACGGCAAGCGCUGGGUAGCUACGUUCGGAAGGGAUAACCGCUGAAAGCAUCUAAGUGGGAAACCCUCCUCAAGAUGAGACAUCCCGUGCCCUUGAAGGGCACUGAAGGAACCAGGGAGAAUACCUGGUCGAUAGGCUGGAGGUCGAAGCGUGGCAACACGUGUAGCCGACCAGUACUAAUCAGCCGUGAGGCUUGACCAUAUU